rnacentral:rRNA from 1 species
UGGGGAAUCUUCCGCAAUGGACGAAAGUCUGACGGAGCAACGCCGCGUGAGUGAUGACGGCCUUCGGGUUGUAAAGCUCUGUUAAUCGGGACGAAUGGUUCUUGUGCGAAUAGUGCGAGGAUUUGACGGUACCGGAAUAGAAAGCCACGGCUAACUACGUGCCAGCAGCCGCGGUAAUACGUAGGUGGCAAGCGUUGUCCGGAAUUAUUGGGCGUAAAGCGCGCGCAGGCGGAUUGUUCAGUCUGUCUUAAAAGUUCGGGGCUUAACCCCGUGAUGGGAUGGAAACUGCCAAUCUAGAGUAUCGGAGAGGAAAGUAGAAUUCCUAGUGUAGCGGUGAAAUGCGUAGAUAUUAGGAAGAACACCAGUGGCGAAGGCGACUUUCUGGACGAAAACUGACGCUGAGGCGCGAAAGCCAGGGGAGCGAACGGG